GUCUAAGGGUAUAACACCCUGAACACAACCAAUCUUGUCUGAUCUGGGAGGCUAAGCAGUCAGGCUUGGUUAGUACUGGGAUAGGAGAAAUAUGAAAUUUUGAGCCA
rnacentral:rRNA from 1 species